UAUGGUCUGGUUGUCCCUGCAUCUGCUUGGCUUUUGCCCACUGAAGUGAAUAUGAUUCAUCUCCAAUGCUUCCAGAAGUGCUACCUUGCUUCCCACAUCUGUCGCGGUCCCUUCCCAUGGGCCUUAGACCUGAGGAACACUUGUUUUCCCGGGUGCUGUCUCUUCAGGAACUGUCACUGAAUAAUCUAAGGAAAAACAAAGGUGCUUGCUUUCAGGCAAGCCUCCUGGCUGCUCUCCUUGCCUGCUCUGAUUGCUGUCCCUAAGUCGUGCAUAUAUUCUCGAGCCAUCCCUGGGCCCAUCUAGCAUGAUCAAGGUGAUCAAUAUAAGAAUACCCAUCAAGGUGAUAAGUAUAAGAAUCUUCAGGUAAUUCCUGACUGCACAUCGCUGCUGCAGUCUGGGUGAAGGCUUGGCUUUGCUGCCUCCUGGUGGAAAACACAGCCAUCCGUAACAGUCCUGAAGCAUGAGCAAUGACUCCUCUUUAGUUGAUUUAUCUUACAUAUGAAUUCCAAAAGUCUCCAUGGUACUGUGUAUGUGCGAGUGAGUGUGUGUGUGUGUGUGUGCGCGCGCGCGAGAUAAUCAGCGUGUCAGUUACCAAUUUAUUAUCUCUCAGCUCCAAACACACCCUUCGAUUUGUGCUCUGGGACAAACAAUGUAAUCCCUCGAAUCCUUUCUCCAUUAAAGUGAGAACAAUGCUAAACUUUCUCCAUAGGGGGCGCUGGAGGGACACUGCAGUUGGAAGAGGCAGGUAGUGGGGAGUGUGUGGCAGUCCGGUGGUGCCCGCCACAAGGGCCCAGAACGAGAUCCCUCUGCCUCCUUGCAGCCUUGGUGUGAGGAUGACCUUUUCACAGCCUUCUCAUCCUGAAACCAAAGCCCCUCCAUGGCCUCAGCUGCCCAUAUCAGCUGUAUGGAGGUGGGGGAGGGGCAGUCCACACAGAGCUGCGGCCCCCUUUGCAAGCCUGCUUGCUGCCCAUGUACUCUGAAGACACUAUACAUCAAGGCAAGGAUGAACCAGAAACUCUGCAUGCGAAUUCAUGCCCAAGUUACAG